UUCCAUUACACGUUUGAUUGGCUGCCGGGAACCCGGGCCACGCCCCUCUCGCCCGCCCUUCACCGCCCAAAGAUGGCCGGUCGUUCAACUGCAUCCAGUAUACUAUAGAGUAUGUGAGCAUUGUGACGGUCACAGGGCUGGGUAUGGGCUGCCUCCUCUCUCUGCAUACUUGGUUGGCCAAUCAGAAUGCAGCCUGAGACGAGGCUCAGCCAAUGGGAAUGUCAGUAAGGAGCGGCGCUGGUGCAGCGAGUUCCGGUGCAGCUCAGUGUGUGUCUUGGCGGUGGGUGGGGCGGAGCCCGCGGCUUUGGGAAGGGACCGGAGCGGAUAGCUUUUAUCUGAAUCCAAUGAUACGGCCGGGGCGGCUCCGCUAGGGAGUCUGGCGGCCUGCUACGCCCUGCACCACACACCGGGACGGCGGGGACUACCUCCAUCCAAUAGCCAAGCGCGGCCAGCGGGACAGCCAGCACCUCGGGGAGGGAGAGGAGAAGGUGUCAGCAUGGACCAGGCGGAGAUCCUGAGGACUUUCAUUCAGAGGGUGCGGGAUAUGGAUAACAAGGACCACAAUGGGGAGGAUAACUUCGCCUGCGACUUCAUGGUGAGAGAGAGAGAGAGCAAGACAUGGGCUGGGCACAGGGAUCACUAACAUGCCAUCUAAUGGUCCUGCAGGGCUGGGUGUAACCUGGAUGGGGAGUGCUGGAUGUGAUAGUGUGC